AGAAUCAACGCUGGCGGCGUGCCUAACACAUGCAAGUCGAACGAGAAAGUGGUAGCAAUACCACGAGUAAAGUGGCGCACGGGUGAGUAACACGUGACUAACCUACCCUGGAGUGGGGGAUAACUGAGGGAAACCUUAGCUAAUACCGCAUAAUACCCACGGGUCAAAGGAGCAAUUCGCUCUGGGAGGGGGUCGCGGCCGAUUAGUUAGUUGGCGGGGUAAUGGCCCACCAAGACUGUGAUCGGUA
rnacentral:rRNA from 1 species